GCCUUAUCUCAUUCAAAGAGAAUCUUCCCCUAACUCGUUUUAUGCUUCGCUCCAUGAACGCCUCUGAGACCAAGCAUCUUAAAUCUCUUUGUCGGAUGUGAAAGCUCUCCUAGUAACUUCAAUCGAUUUGAGAAUACUUUACCAAGAUAUACAGCAAAGAUAGAUAUCGUCAGAAGUUAAAGGUUGAGGAUAACCGACAAAAAAUAAGAAGAUCCUAGAACUCAGCCGGAGUAAGCGAGCCGAAAACUCAUCUAGUGAAAUAGAGAGCUGAAGUUUUGAGUAAUCAGCUAGAAUUGGAGAGAAAAACACAUGAAGAACUGCUCUGAUCCGGUUGAUAUAGUUACAAAACAAAAUUCGCCACACUAAAACAAAAGUCGGAUUUAACCAAAAUGAUACAAUCGCCUGAUUGAAAAAAAACAAAUCGAUCUUUCGAUCGAAGAGAAGUAUUUUAUAUCAAAAACAUAAGAUAAAUCUCUUUCUCCUUGUGAAAGAUGAGAUUCCGGAAACAUGGAAGAAAAGAAAAAUUCUCUCUCUAAAAGAUGAGAGAGAACUCUAUUUCUCCUUAUUGAUCUUAAAGUCUUAAUAAAACAAUGUUAACAAUGCUACAUUAUGAGCCGAAUUUACAAAUUAUCUAAUAAUACAUUUUAAAAGCAAUAAAAGUAGUAGUAUUU